rnacentral:tRNA from 1 species
GAUAGUGUGGCACAUUGGCAAGAGCACUGAACUUAGAAUUCAAGGGCUUGGGUUCAAAUCUCAACUCUUUUA